rnacentral:rRNA from 1 species
CCCUUAGACGUUCUGGGCCGCACGCGCGCUACACUGACCAGUGCAACAAGCAUCCGUCCUUGGCCGACAGGCCCGGGCAAUCUUUGAACGCUGGUCGUGAUGGGGAUAGACUUUUGCAAUUUUUGGUCUUCAACGAGGAAUUCCUAAUAAACGCAAGUCAUCAACUUGCAUUGAUUACGUCCCUGCCCUUUGUACACACCGCCCGUCGCACCUACCGAUUGAAUGGUCCGGUGAAGCCUCCGGAUUGGCGCGCACCUCGGUGCCGCCGAGAAGUUGGCUAAACCUUACCAUUUAGAGGAAGGUGAAGUCGUAACA